AUUGAACGCUGGCGGCAGGCUUAACACAUGCAAGUCGAGCGAUCGGCGGACGGGUGAGUAAUGUCUGGGAAACUGCCUGAUGGAGGGGGAUAACUACUGGAAACGGUAGCUAAUCCCGCAUACCUUCAGAUGUGCCCAGAUGGGAUUAGCUAGUGGGUGGGGUAAUGGCUAACCUAGGCGACGAUCCCUAGCUGGUCUGAGAGGAUGACCGGCAACACUGGAACGGGGACACGGUCCAGAUUCCUACGGGAGGCAGCAUUGGGGAAUAUUGCAAAAUGGGGGCAGGCCGGAUGCAGCAAUGCCGGGGGGGUGAAGAAGGCCUUCGGGUGGUAAAGCACUUUCAGCGAGGAGGCGUUACUCGCAGAAGAAGCACCGGCUAACUCCGUGCCAGCAGCCGCGGUAAUAC
rnacentral:rRNA from 1 species